rnacentral:rRNA from 1 species
CUACGGGGUGCACCAGUGAGGAAUAUUGCACAAUGGGGGAAACCCUGAUGCAGCAACGCCGCGUGGAGGAUGACGCAUUUCGGUGUGUAAACUCCUUUUAUGAGUCAAGAAAAUGACGGUAGCUCAUGAAUAAGCACCGGCUAACUCCGUGCCAGCAGCCGCGGUAAUACGGAGGGUGCAAGCGUUACUCGGAAUCACUGGGCGUAAAGGACGCGUAGGCGGGAUGUCAAGUCAGGUGUGAAAUCCUAUGGCUCAACCAUAGAACUGCACUUGAAACUGGCAACCUAGAGUAUGGGAGGGGGAGAUGGAAUUAGUGGUGUAGGGGUAAAAUCCGUAGAUAUCACUAGGAAUACCGAAAGCGAAGGCGACCUCCUGGAACAUUACUGACGCUAAGGCGUGAAAGCGUGGGGAGCAAACAGGAUUAGAUACCCGAGUAGUC